GAAACGACUGCUAAUACCGCAUAAGCCCACGGCUCGGCAUCGAGCAGAGGGAAAAGGAGUGAUCCGCUUUGAGAUGGCCUCGCGUCCGAUUAGCUAGUUGGUGAGGUAACGGCCCACCAAGGCAACGAUCGGUAGCCGGACUGAGAGGUUGAACGGCCACAUUGGGACUGAGACACGGCCCAGACUCCUACGGGAGGCAGCAGUGGGGAAUAUUGCACAAUGGGGGAAACCCUGAUGCAGCGACGCCGCGUGGAGGAAGAAGGUCUUCGGAUUGUAAACUCCUGUUGUUGAGGAAGAUAAUGACGGUACUCAACAAGGAAGUGACGGCUAACUACGUGCCAGCAGCCGCGGUAAAACGUAGGUCACAAGCGUUGUCCGGAAUUACUGGGUGUAAAGGGAGCGCAGGCGGGAGAACAAGUUGGAAGUGAAAUCCAUGGGCUCAACCCAUGAACUGCUUUCAAAACUGUUUUUCUUGAGUAGUGCAGAGGUAGGCGGAAUUCCCGGUGUAGCGGUGGAAUGCGUAGAUAUCGGGAGGAACACCAGUGGCGAAGGCGGCCUACUGGGCACCAACUGACGCUGAGGCUCGAAAGUGUGGGUAGCAAACAGGAUUAGAUACCCUGGUAGUCCACACCGUAAACGAUGAUUGCUAGGUGUUGGAGGAUUGACCCCUUCAGUGCC
rnacentral:rRNA from 1 species